ACUUUAAUAGCUUAUAUAGAGCAUAACACUGAAGAUGUUAGGGAGAUUUUUUAUCUUAAAGUA
rnacentral:tRNA from 1 species